rnacentral:rRNA from 1 species
UACGUAGGGCGCAAGCGUUAAUCGGAAUUACUGGGCGUAAAGCGUGCGCAGGCGGUCAUGCAAGACAGAUGUGAAAUCCCCGGGCUCAACCUGGGAACUGCAUUUGUGACUGCAUGGCUGGAGUGCGGCAGAGGGGGAUGGAAUUCCGCGUGUAGCAGUGAAAUGCGUAGAGAUGCGGAGGAACACCGAUGGCGAAGGCAGCCCCCUGGGUCGACACUGACGCUCAGGCACGAAAGCGUGGGGAGCAAACAGG